rnacentral:rRNA from 1 species
UGGAGAGUUUGAUCCUGGCUCAGAUUGAACGCYGGCGGCAUGCCUUACACAUGCAAGUCGAACGGCAGCAUGAUCKAGCUUGCUAGAUUGAUGGCGAGUGGCGAACGGGUGAGUAAUAUAUCGGAACGUGCCCUAGUAGUGGGGGAUAACUAGUCGAAAGAUUAGCUAAUACCGCAUACGACCUGAGGRUGAAAGUGGGGGACCGCAARRCCUCAUGCUAUAGGAGCGGCCGAUGUCUGAUUAGCUAGUUGGUGAGUGUAAAGGCUCACCAAGGCGACGAUCAGUAGCUGGUCUGAGAGGACGAUCAGCCACACUGGGACUGAGACACGGCCCAGAAUCCUACGGGAGGCAGCAGUGGGGAAUUUUGGACAAUGGGGGCAACCCUGAUCCAGCAAUGCCGCGUGAGUGAAGAAGGCCUUCGGGUUGUAAAGCUCUUUUGUCAGGGAAGAAACGGUAGUAGCGAAUAACUAUUACUAAUGACGGUACCUGAAGAAUAAGCACCGGCUAACUACGUGCCAGCAGCCGCGGUAAUACGUAGGGUGCAAGCGUUAAUCGGAAUUACUGGGCGUAAAGCGCACGCAGG